rnacentral:rRNA from 1 species
AUACGGAGGGUGCAAGCGUUAUCCGGAAUCAUUGGGUUUAAAGGGUCCGCAGGCGGAUUAAUAAGUCAGUGGUGAAAUCCUCUCGCUCAACGAGAGAACUGCCAUUGAAACUGUUAGUCUUGAAUUCGGUCGAAGUAGGCGGAAUGUGUCAUGUAGCGGUGAAAUGCAUAGAUAUGACACAGAACACCGAUAGCGAAGGCAGCUUACUAGACCUGGAUUGACGCUCAUGGACGAAAGCGUGGGGAGCGAACAGGAUUAGAUACCCUUGUAGUCC